GGACAUUUGAACUCAUCCGGAAGUCGAGAGCCGUUGAAGAUAUCUCUUUGAGCAUCAUUAUAAUUACAUUUCAGACGAGAUUCCACUUCAAAUUCAAGAGAGUCUUCAUGCUGCAGAGAUCCAUUCUCUGUGUGCUCUGCCACAAUAGAUUUGCCAUUUUUGUUGAGAAGACUCAGAAAGAACAGUAAGAUUUUCCUUUUUGGUGGAUCACCCUCCCCAAUUUUCUCCAGCUGUUUUUUGAUGGAUCUUUUCUCUAUCAAAAGAUCUUUUGGAGAUGUGAUACGCAGUUUCUCCAUAGCAAUUUGAAUAGCCUCAAAGACGUGUCCUUCCCCUGAAUGUGUUGUAGACGUAUACUGAUGAAGUAGCUUGCUCAAUACUUUCCUUGCCUCCUCUUCAGAUGGGUCCAAGCUGAAUAUUCCAGCUCCCAGGUCAGCAACCAGUUGCGAUAUCUGUGUAGCCAACAUCACAGGAACCAUAUUCUGCACACAGCUCAAGCUUUGCUCAAGCAAUUUUUUUGAUUUGUUGCAUCUUGAAAGUAUAACAUUUCCAGUUAGUGCCAGGUAUAGUUUACUGGAUUCACUACAAUGCUGAAGAAUGUCCUUGGCUUUGUCAAGUGCUCUGUUUAUCUGGCAAAGUACCUGUAUUCCAGGAUUGGAUCCAGGACGGGCUUCUUCAAUUGCUGGAAGUAACAUUAAAACUCCAGCUACAAAUUUAAUUAGUUCCAUGCACAUUAGACGAUGCACCUUAAUGUCACGAGGAGAUGGUAUCCCAGCAAUUGAAGCAGCAUCACUCCCCAUAAGGAACUUCUACUAGAGGAGAGUAACAAAGAACCCCUCUCUGAUUAAGAUGAAAAUUCAAAAUUCUGUAUAGUUCCAAUUGUUUCUUUACAGUUCCAGCAGCAAAAAACUGAAGUCCACUUUCAAAAACCUCAUCAAAUUCCCAGCAAAAGCGAAUACUUUUCCCAAUUCUACACAAGGAGAAAUAAGACCCGAUUCUUUCUCGUCAAGACUGGGAAAACAUACUCAUAUUCGCAAUUAUUAAGUCUUGAAAACCAAAACAUUAAUUAAAGCUGCAAUCUUUACACCUUUUUGACGAACCUCGGAAACAAUAAUCAUAUGAAUAUAUGAUAAUUAUGUUUGUAGAAGCAGGCGUGGAAGAUUU
rnacentral:misc_RNA from 1 species